rnacentral:lncRNA from 1 species
AUGUUAGAUUAUGUGGUCCUAUUUAAUUAGGUAAGAUAUAUUAUAGAUAUUAUUGGAUUCUGAUUAUGGUUAUUGGCCAAUAGAAAAGAAGUCCAUAUUAAAAUAGGAUUCUUUAGGAGAUAACCUUGAUGGAAGGAACUCUCCUAAUAACUUAUCCUAGACCCUCUGCUCUCGCCUAUAAAUAGACAGGACCUCUAGGGGCUAAAGAUAUCAUCAUAUAUCAUCAGAUAUCAUCUGGACCUCUAGGGGGUCAAAUGCGCAUCUGAGUAGUAUCUGAGUCAAUUGAGAGAUUAAGGUUUUUCUCUCAAUUUGAGUCAAAUGAGAGAUUAAGUUUUUCUCUCAAUCUCCCUCUCCCUUAAUCCCCUAAUCCAUCAAUCUAGGUGGUCAUGUGAAAAGAUAGAAAGAGAGGAGAAGGAUCUAGUUCUUUUUGCAGAUCCUUGCAGAUUGAUAUUUCAGAUCCGACGAUGGAGCACUUGUAAAUCAGAUAAGGUUUAUUUCUUCUGAACAACAAGAAAGGUAUGCAUCGUAAUAUUGUCAGAUCUAAUUUAUUUGAUUUCAAUCUUGGUAUAAAAGUUUUUUCCGCAUUAUAGAUAGCAUGAUUA